UUUUAUUUUAGUUUACCACCAGCAUCUCAAGUCCUUCUUACUUGGGGGAGUGCCCCACUCUAUGCAAUAUUUGCAGGAUUGCUAAGACUAAGGCUGAGAGAUAUUCUCCCUGCCCCCCAGUGGCUAGAAUACGACAUAGGACCCCACCUGGCCACACAUCUCUGAAUUUUGAAUCUUCAGGGAAUGACAUGAGACCUACUGACAAGCUUAGAAUUAUUCAGAGCAACAGAGACAGUAGGUGUCCAGCCACAGUGGGUCCCUCAGAGGGAUUGGGAGUAUGGGGGUCCCUACCAUAGUGAUGGUGGCCAUUCCAGAUUGUUCCUGAGGCACGAACUUGGUUGUGGUGCCUGCUGCCUGGCCUUGCUAGGUUACAACCCAUUUUCCAUAUCCAACUCUCCAGCCUUCCUGUCAACUCUGUAGCCUUCCAGUAAAUUCUCUUUCCUUGACAUUCUCACAAUUUCUGGCGUUUGCAUCAAAGCACUCUGACGGAGACACUGGUUUGUUGUUUUUGAAAUGUCACCUGAAAAUGGUUGACUAGGGGGCUUUCUAAGUUACAAAACCAUGUAAGAAGCUUAGUCCGACAGCCUAGUGUAGAAUGAGCCAGAGCUGCCUGUGUUCUCGUUUCUAAGCCCCCACCUGUACCACCACAGAGCACCAAGGGAAGAGGGACUCACAGACUCGCUCGGAUGCAGUCAUCAAAGUUGCCAAUUGAAACAAAUCACAGUGCAAUGCUCCCACAUACCAAUGCUCCCUCUCCAGCUGCUUUUGCUCUGCCGUUCCUACCAUAUUUUCUAGGGAUUGCACUGCUGCCCCAGUUCCCCGCUCUCCCUCUCAUACUGCGACCACGGUUCCACACCACCCCAGCCCCCCAGAGCUCCUCAUACACAUCACUGCACACCCCGCCCUCCUUCCCCAGCAACUGGAGUCUCCAGCUUCCUCCAGCGGGACUGAAAGACUCAGAUGUGAAGCAAGGCCAUUCAGCCUCGUUAGGGCCUCCCUGCAGGCCCACCAGCCCCUUCUCGCCAGCCCAGGUGCUGAGUCUAUCCCGAGACCUCACCCAUCUAGGAAGGAGAAGGAUCAGACCAUACCAAUGCCACCAAUGCUCC
rnacentral:lncRNA from 1 species